AGAGUUUGAUCAUGGCUCAGCGCGAACGCUGGCGGCGUGCCUAACACAUGCAAGUCGAGGGGCAGCAGGCCAAAGUCUUUGGGUUUUGGUGCUGGCGACCGGCGGACGGGUGAGUAACGCGUAGGCGACCUACCCCAUGGACUGGGAUAACCCUUCGAAAGGGGGGCUAAUACCGGAUAAGCUCACGGCUUGGUAUGGGUUGUGAGAAAAGGUGGCCUCUGAUCCCUUCGGGGUCCCCGCAAAGUCGCAAGACUUUGUGGGGUGAAUCAUGCUACUGCCAUGGGAUGGGCCUGCGUCCUAUCAGCUAGUUGGUGGGGUGAUGGCCUACCAAGGCGACGACGGGUAGCCGGCCUGAGAGGGUGGUCGGCCACACUGGCACUGAGACACGGGCCAGACUCCUACGGGAGGCAGCAGUGGGGAAUAUUGGGCAAUGGGCGAAAGCCUGACCCAGCGACGCCGCGUGGGGGAAGAAGGCCUUCGGGUUGUAAACCCCUGUUGAGAGGGAAGAAUGGCUUAGUGGUGAAUAGUCACUGGGCUUGACGGUACCUUUCGAGGAAGCCCCGGCUAACUACGUGCCAGCAGCCGCGGUAAUACGUAGGGGGCGAGCGUUGCGCGGAAUUACUGGGCGUAAAGGGUGCGUACGCGGCCUAGUAAGUCGGGGUGAAAUACCACGGCUCAACCGUGGGGGUGCUUUCGAUACUGCUGGGCUUGAGGCCAGGAGAGGCUGGCGGAAUUCCCGGU
rnacentral:rRNA from 1 species